rnacentral:sRNA from 1 species
UACAGAUCAAAUCUUCUAGUUGUAGCUAAAAAAUACCAAGAAUUAGAUGUUAUGGGUUAAUUUUCUUUUUAGCCCUUUAAUCUGAACCAUAAACAUUUAUUAGCUUGGCAUGUCUUUCAAGCAAAAUAUUGAAACUAAGAACUGCAAAUUCUAAUAGUAUUGCAACCAGUAAAAGAAGAUAUAUUAUCCACAUUGUUCAUUUUUUCUUCAGCACUUGAAAGGAUCAACAUCAGUUGCUUUUUAAAACUAAAUCUAUGUAAUAUUGUUCUAUUUUAUGUUCUCAAAAACUGAAAUAAUGAAGUUUUCUGAAUCUUAAUUGCUAUUUGAAACUGAGCCUUUUGUAAUUUCUGUUUUUCAUGUGUCUUAUUGACAGGUGCCAGUCUUUAGGCCUAUGGAUCUAAUGGUUGAGGCCAGUCCACGAAGAAUAUUUGCCAAUGCUCAUACAUAUCACAUCAACUCAAUUUCUAUUAAUAGUGAUUAUGAAACAUAUUUAUCUGCAGAUGAUUUGCGGAUUAAUCUUUGGCAUCUGGAAAUUACAGACAGGAGUUUUAACAUUGUGGAUAUCAAGCCUGCCAAUAUGGAAGAGCUAACAGAGGUGAUUACAGCAGCAGAAUUUCAUCCAAACAGCUGUAACACAUUUGUAUACAGCAGCAGUAAAGGAACUAUUCGGCUAUGUGACAUGAGGGCAUCUGCCCUCUGUGAUAGACAUUCUAAAUUGUUUGAAGAACCUGAAGAUCCCAGUAACAGGUCAUUUUUUUCCGAAAUCAUCUCCUCUAUUUCGGAUGUAAAAUUCAGCCAUAGUGGUCGAUAUAUGAUGACUAGAGACUAUUUGUCAGUCAAAAUUUGGGACUUAAAUAUGGAAAACAGGCCUGUGGAAACAUACCAGGUGCAUGAAUACCUCAGAAGUAAACUCUGUUCACUGUAUGAAAAUGACUGCAUAUUUGACAAAUUUGAAUGUUGUUGGAAUGGAUCUGACAGUGUUGUCAUGACUGGAUCUUACAAUAAUUUCUUCAGAAUGUUUGACAGAAACACAAAGCGAGACAUAACCCUAGAAGCAUCGCGGGAAAACAAUAAGCCUCGCACAGUUCUGAAGCCUCGCAAAGUCUGUGCAAGUGGCAAGCGAAAGAAAGAUGAAAUAAGUGUUGACAGCCUAGACUUCAAUAAGAAAAUCCUUCACACAGCCUGGCACCCCAAGGAAAAUAUCAUUGCCGUAGCUACUACAAACAAUCUGUAUAU